rnacentral:rRNA from 1 species
GAUGAACGCUAGCGACAGGCCUAACACAUGCAAGUCGAGGGGCAGCACAAGGAGCAAUCUGAGGUGGCGACCGGCGCACGGGUGAGUAACACGUAUGCAACCUACCUGUAAGAGGGGAAUAACCCGUUAGAAAACGGACUAAUACCGCAUAACACUGUAGAACCGCAUGGUUUGACAGUUAAACAUUUAUGGCUUACAGAUGGGCAUGCGCAUGAUUAGCUAGUUGGUGAGGUAACGGCUCACCAAGGCAACGAUCAUUAGGGGUUCUGAGAGGAACGGUCCCCCACACUGGUACUGAGACACGGACCAGACUCCUACGGGAGGCAGCAGUGAGGAAUAUUGGUCAAUGGGCGAGAGCCUGAACCAGCCAAGUCGCGUGAAGGAUGAAGGUUUUAUGAAUUGUAAACUUCUUUGCAGGGGAAUAAAGUGUCCGACGUGUCGGUAUUUUGUAUGUACUCUGCGAAUAAGGAUCGGCUAACUCCGUGCCAGCAGCCGAC